rnacentral:rRNA from 1 species
UACGAAGGGGACUAGCGUUGUUCGGAAUCACUGGGCGUAAAGCGCACGUAGGCGGAUUGCUAAGUCAGGGGUGAAAUCCUGGAGCUCAACUCCAGAACUGCCUUUGAUACUGGCGAUCUCGAGUCCGGGAGAGGUGAGUGGAACUGCGAGUGUAGAGGUGAAAUUCGUAGAUAUUCGCAAGAACACCAGUGGCGAAGGCGGCUCACUGGCCCGGUACUGACGCUGAGGUGCGAAAGCGUGGGGAGCAAACAGG